UUAUAUACAUAAUAUAUUGUCAAAUUGGCUAACAUACGAUGUGUGAAGUGUGCUCUUAGUUUUUGAGGUAGAUUCUUGUGGUUCAUUGCUUACAUACAACACCCAGUGCUCAUCCCAACAAGUGCCCUCCUCAAUCCUCAUCACCUACUUUCCCCUUU